UGUUUCUAUUUUAUGGAAUAGUUUGAGGAGAAUUGGAAUUAGGUUUUCUUUGAAGGUCUGAUAGAACUCUAAACUAAACCCAUCUGGACCUGGACUUUUUUUUUGCUUGGGAGGCUAUUAAUGACUGCUUCUAUUUCUUUAGGGGAAAUGGGACUGUUAAGAUCAUUAGGAAGUUGUUCAUUUCAUCCAGGUUUUCCAGUUUAGUUGAGUAUAGCCCUUUGUAGUAGGAUGUGUGUUUUGGAUUUCCUCAGGUUCUGUUAUGUCUCCUUUUUAAUUUCUGCUUUUGUUAAUUAGGAUACUGUCCCUGUGCCCUCUAGUUAGUCUGGCUAAGGGUUUAUCUAUCUUGUUGAUUUUCUCAAAGAACUCGCUCCUGGUUUGGUUGAUUCGUUGUAUAGUUCUCUUUGUUUCCACUUGGUUGAUUUCAGACCUAAGUUUAAUUUUUUUUUUUUUUUUGUGCCAUCUACUCCUCUUGGGUGAAUCUUUUUCUUUUAUUCUAGAGCUUUUAGGUGUGCUGUCAGGCUGCUUGUGUAUGCUCUCUCUAGUUUCUUUAUGGAGGCACUCAGAGCUAUAUGUUUUCCUUUUAGGUCUGCUUUCAUCGUGUUGCAUAAGUUUGAGUAUGUUGUGGCUUCAUUUUCUUUAACCUCCAAAAAAUCUUUAAUUUCUUUCUUUAUUUCUUCCUUGACCAAGAUAUCAUUGAAUAGAGUGUUGUUCAGUUUCCAUGUGAAUGUUGGCUUUUAUUAUUUAUGCUGUUAUUGAAGAUAAGCCUUAGUCUGUGGUGAUCUGAUAGAUUGCAUGGGAUUAUUUCAAUAUUUUUGUAUCUGUUAAGGCCUGUUUUCUGGCUGAUUAUAUGGUCAAUUUUGGAGGAGGUACCAUGAGGUGCUGAGAAGAAGGUUUAUUUUUUUUUUUACUUUUUAUUUUUUGGAUAAAAUGUUUUGUAGAUAUCUGUUAAAUUCAUUUGUUUCAUAACUUCUGCUAGUGUCCAUGUGUGUCUGUUUAGUUUCUGUUUCCAGGAUGUGUCCAUUGGUGAGAGUGGGGUGUUAAAGUCUCCCACUAUUAUUGUGUGAGGUGCAAUGUGUGCUUUGAGCUUUACUAUAGUUACUUUUAUAAAUGUGGAUGCCCUUGCAUUUGGAGCAUAGAUAUUCAGAAUUGAGAGUUCAUCUUGGUAGAUUUUACCUUUGAUGAGUAUGAAGUGCCCCUCCUUGUCUUUUUUGAUAAGUUUGGGUUGGAAGUAAAUUUUAUUCGAUAUUAGAAUGGCUACUCCAGCUUGUUUCUUUGGACCUUUUGCUUGGAAAAUUGUUUUCCAGCCUUUUACUCUGAGGUAGUGUCUGUCUUUGUUCCUGAGGUGGGUUUCCUGUAAGCAGCAAAAUGUUGGGUCCUGUUUGUGUAGCCAGUCUGUUAGUCUAUAUCUUUUUAUUGGGGAAUUGAGUCCAUUGACAUUAAGUGAAAUUAAAGAAAAAUAAUUGUUGCUUCAUGUCACUUUUGUUGUUAAAGUUGGGAUUCUGUUCUUAUGGCUGUCUUCUUUUAGGUUUGUUGAAGGAUUACUUUCCUGCUUUUUCUAGAGUGUAGUUUCCAUCUUUGUGUUGGUGUUUUCCCUUUAUUAUUACCCUUUGAAAGUCUUGAUUCGUGGAAAGAUAUUGUGUGAAUUUUGUUUUGUCAUGAAAUACUUUGUUUAUUCCAUCUAAGGUAAUUGAGAGUUUUGCUGGGUAUAGUAGCCUGGGCUGGCAUUUGUGUUCUCUUAGUGUCUGUAUAACAUCUGUCCAGGAUCUUUUGGCUUUCAUAGUCUCUGUUGAGAAGUCUGGAGUAAUUCUAAUAGGCCUGACUUUAUAUGUUACUUGACCUUUUUCCCUCACUGAUUUUACUAUUCUGUCUUUAUUAAGUGCAUUUGUUGUUCUGAUUAUUAUGUGUCAGGAGGAAUUUCUUUUCUGGUCCAGUCUAUUUGGAGUUCUCUAGGCUUCUCAUGGGCAUCUCUUUCUUUAGGUUUGGGAAGUUUUCUUCUAUAAUUUUGUUGAAGAUAUUUGCUGGUCCUUUAAUUUGAAAAAUCUUCAUUCUCAUCUACUCCUAUUAUCCAUAGGUUUGGUCUUCUCAUUGUGUCCUGGAUUUCCUCUAUGUUUUGAUUUAGGAUCUUUUUGCAUUUUGCAUUUUCUUUGAUUGUUGUGUCCAUGUUUUCUAUGGAAUCUUCUGCACCUGAGAUUCUCUCUUCUGUCUCUUGUAUUCUGUUGCUGAUACUCACAUCUAUGGUUCCUGUUUUCUUUCCUAGGGUUUCUAUCUCCAGAGUUGUCUCCUUUUGGGAUUGUUUUUAUUGUUUUUACUUCACUUUUUAGAUCUUGGAUGGUUUUGUUCAAUUCCAUCACAUCUUUGGUUCUGUUUUACUGUAAUUCUUUAAGGGAUUUUUUUUUGUUUCCUCUUUAAGCCCUUCUACCUUUUUAGCAGUGUUUUCCUGUAAUUCUUUAAGGCCUUCUACCUUUUUAGCAGUGUUCUCCCAUAUUUCUUUGAGUUAUUAAUGCCCUUCUUAAAAUAUUCUAUCAUCAUCAUGAGAUAUGAUUUUAAAUCUGAGUCUUGCUUUUUUGGGUGUGUUGGUGUAUCCAGGACUCACUGUGGUGGGUUUACUGAGUUUUGAUGAUGCCCAGUGUUCUUGGUUUCUAUUAGUAAGAUUCUUACGUUUGCCUUUUGCCAUCUGGUAAUCUCUGGUGUUAAUGUUUUAGUAGUCUCUGGUUGGAGCUUAUUCCUCUGGUGAUUCUGUUAGCCUCUGUCAGCACUCCUGGGAGUCCAACUCUCACCUGAGUCCCAGUGGUCAGAGCAUUCUCUACAGGCAAGCUCUCCUCUUACAGGGCAGGUAUCCAGAAGUCUGGAGCUUUGAUCCACCUCCUGAGUCCUGGUGUCAGAGCCCUCCCUGUAAGCUAACUCUCCUCUGGCAAGGAAGGUGCCCAGGGCUCUGCCUCCUGGGUGAGGAUGAAAGCCCAAAGGGACCCUGUCCAAGAAGCUCUGUUGCUUCUGUCACCCACGUGCUCUCCCGUGUCACGAGGUCCUGGGUAUGCUAGGGGUCCUGUGGCAUGGAGAGUUGUGGAGAGUAUUCUGGAGCCCUUGGCUGCCUCCACUGGGUUCAGCUGGAAGAUGGCAGGGCUGGCCCCAACCAGAACAGAUACAGGCCUCUGGUUGUGUGAGGUUCCUUUGUCCCUGUUCCUGCUGACACAAGACUCUAGGAUUCUUUGGAGAUGAUGUUGUGUUCCACUCAAUUGUGACCCAGAGGUGAUCCUGAGGUUCUGAGGCCUGGAGAGUACUCUGGAGCCCUUGGCUCCAUCCAGUAUUUUUCAAGAGUUUAUUUUAAUUAUGUUUGCACAUGUCCAAGUGGAUAAACCUUAGCAGCUGACAAAAAGGGACAGGAAAGAAAAAGAAGAGAGACAGCUACAACUCUGAGCUAGGAGUUGAGAAAUUUCAUAAGCUCAUCGAUUGAGACCUCCAAGCAGCCACAUUGUGGACAAGAACUACAUUGUAGAUAAUAAGAUCUUGGAAGAAAGAGUGAGAAAGCCCAGAGUGCAUAUUUAUGCUUUGACCGGGAUCUGAAAGAAAAAGAGAUGG
rnacentral:lncRNA from 1 species